UGUAUAUGUAUUGAAUUUAACAAUAUUACAGUAUGAGGAAGCAGAAAUUAAAAUAUUGGUUAUACAAUAAGUUCAUAUAAUAAAACAAUAAAAUAUAUAAAAUGGUUUUGUUUACAUGUCCAUAAUAAAGGUAUUGACUUUCUAAAAUGUUAAUUACGGUACAUGAAAUUAUAUACACAUGAUAGAUUUGUUUACAAAAUACCUCAUUAUUUUCAUAUUUUUAUUAUAUAUUUUUUUUUCAAUUAACAUAUCUUUUUAGUAUUAGCGUUUUAAAACGUCAGUUACAACAUAUAAAUUUGAUAUAUUUUGCACUCAAACAAUUUCUAAUAUAAUUUGUAAUUCUGUAUAAUAAUGGAUUUUAAAAUAAUAAUAAAACCAGUACUGCAAGUACAUGUUCUUAAGGUGCAUACACUUCGGAUUUUGGAAUACGGAAAUAUUCUCAGGAAAAUAACAAAAAACAUCUGAUACCAACAUUUGACCAAAAAAUUCACAUAAGAUAUAAAAACUCUGCAGCUGCCACUUGAAACCCGCUUCAAAAUAUACAAUCGUGCACAUGUAUUAUCGUGUUCUUGCUUUUUAUUUAAAGGAAGGAUGUAAUUAGGAAAUUGUCUACAACGGUAAAACCGGUUACCUGUCAAUUGAGCUUUGUAUUCAUAGCAUUUUCCGUGACAGUUCAUAUUCAACCAACUACGCUCAUUUGUUAAAAAAGUUUCAAUUACAAUGGUUACAGAGUUCUUCUUCAUUGCAAUAUAAACAAAACAUGCAAACCAAAUUAAAAUAAAUUAUAUGAUCGUUCAGUGUUUGUCAAAUAAUUGUAGAAUUCCUGAUAUUGAUCAUGUUGAUCAACUCGAACAUGGUACAAAACUUGCCAUUUGUCUCAUGCUAAAUACAUUUAACAACAUUGAUCUAUGUAUGGAAUGAAUUGUAGGUUACAUUAAUAAGUGCGUAAGACCUUGUCGGAGAUAAAAAAAAAAACGAAAACAUUAUUCGCUAUGUGAAAAUAUAUAAAAUACACUUAAUUUGGUGCACAAAUUCAUAUCGGAAACAGGUUUU
rnacentral:lncRNA from 1 species